rnacentral:rRNA from 1 species
CCUACGGGUGGCUGCAGUGGGGAAUAUUGCACAAUGGGCGCAAGCCUGAUGCAGCCAUGCCGCGUGUGUGAAGAAGGCCUUCGGGUUGUAAAGCACUUUCAGCGGGGAGGAAGGCGUUAAGGUUAAUAACCUUGUCGAUUGACGUUACCCGCAGAAGAAGCACCGGCUAACUCCGUGCCAGCAGCCGCGGUAAUACGGAGGGUGCAAGCGUUAAUCGGAAUUACUGGGCGUAAAGCGCACGCAGGCGGUCUGUCAAGUCGGAUGUGAAAUCCCCGGGCUCAACCUGGGAACUGCAUUCGAAACUGGCAGGCUAGAGUCUUGUAGAGGGGGGUAGAAUACCAGGUGUAGCGGUGACAUGCGUAGAGAUCUGGAGGAAUACCGGUGGCGAAGGCGGCCCCCUGAACAAAGGCUGACGCUCAGGUGCGAAAGCGUGGGGAGCAAACAGGAUUAGAUACCCGAGUAGUC